AGUGGCGAACGGGUGAGUAACACGUGGGCAACCUGCCCAAAANAGGGGGAUAACACUUGGAAACAGGUGCUAAUACCGCAUAACCAUAGUUACCGCAUGGUAACUAUGUAAAAGGUGGCUAUACUACCGCUUUUGGAUGGGCCCGCGGCGCAUUAGCUAGUUGGUAGGGUAAAGGCUUACCAAGGCAAUGAUGCGUAGCCGAAUUGAGAGGUUGAUCGGCCACAUUGGGACUGAGACACGGCCCAAACUCCUACGGAAGGCAGCAG
rnacentral:rRNA from 1 species